AUUUUUCUUUUUAUUUAAAGAAACUGCAAAGUUAAAAUUUUAAUGACCCGACUCUUACAUCUUGUUCUCUAUCACAAAUUCGUAAUUUUUCAUAUGAAGUUCCAAACUCAAAGACACCCAGCUUCCUAAAGGUGUAGGCCACAGAUAGCCAAACAUUUUCUAUAAAGGGCCAGAGAGUAAAUAUUGUGGCUUUGCCAUGUGGUCUCUGUCUGAACUAAUUCAAUUCUGCAACUGUAGCAACAAAGCAGAAAUAGGCAAUACAUAAACUAAUGGGGAUGUCUAUGUUCCAAUAAAACUUCACUUUCAAAAACAGAUGGUGAGGAGGAUUUGGCCAUAGGUUGCUGACCUCUGGUGUAGACCAAAUGAGAUCUCUGCUUCAUGCAAAAAGGGUCCAAAACAGUUCUCAAGAAAAGUGUUAGCUGGAUGAAGUCAGGAAGGACAAGUGUAUUAGUCUGUUCUCACGCUGCUCAUAAAGACAUACCUGAGACAGGGGAAUUCAUAAAGGGAAAAGGUUUAAUUGACUCACAGUUGAGCAUGGCUGGGGAAGCCUCAGAAAAGCUACAGUCAUGGCAGAAGGGGAAGCAAACACAUCUUUCUUCACAUGGUGGCAUCAAGGAGAAGAGUGAGCAAAAGGGGAAAAGCCCCUUAUAAAACCAUCAGAUCUCAUUAGAACUCACUCACCAUCAUGAGAACACCAUAAGGAUAACCAUCCCCAUGAUUAAAUUACCUCCCACGACACAUGGGGAUUAUGGGAACUACAAUUCAAGAUGAGAUUUGGGUGAGGACACAGCCAAACCAUAUCAGCAAGGAAAUUAAAAAUUGUUAUUCAAGCAAAGGUAGUGGAGGAGAGUAAAGAUAGACAAUAGACAAUAUAUUUUUAAUUGGAACUUUAAUAGAGCUUUUGAGUUCUGAACUCAUGCAGUAAGUAGUUUUGACAAGCCAAUGCCCAGUAAUCACUUUACCAAGGGGGAGAGCUUGUUCACCAUUAAAUGCUGAUCUGUUAAAGGAAAACACAAAUUCAUAAUUCAUACUAUUUCAAUUUUUGCUUGGAGGCCAACUAGCAACAUAGAAUAUAUUUCAUUUUAACAUUUCUCUCUAUAUAUAUAUUAUGUAUGUUUGUCCUAUACUUUAAGUUUAACCGUAAUAUUUGCCAGUAAAUCAUAAGUAUGUCUGCAACAAAUGUCCUAAGGGGAUUUUGGUGACUUCUGUUAACCUCUAAUUCACUAUUUUUCAAACUUUUGACCAACCAUCAGCAAUGUCAUUGCUCCAACUUGGUUGCUGAGUAGCCUUAGGCAAAAUGUAGGAUACAAAGGCAUAACCCAAGAAUAAUCUUUCAUCCUUGGGGUCGAGGAGGGAAAGGUGGAAGCAGAACUCCUGGAACAGCACUGCUUCUGCCACCUCAGACCAGAUGUACAUUGUCCCAGUGUGGGAGAAGCAAACUGUCUCUUCACUUGCUUAAGUUAUUCAAUCACUUUUUGGCAAGACUUCAAGCAGUUUUUGCUGCAGUUAGCUCUAAAGGGGGCAUAGAGUUUUUACUACUUUGAAAUGACAAGCUUAAGGACAUUCAUGAUAGGCUCAGGAGGGUCUCUGUUGGGUCUCAGGAAAUGUCUCAUCAAAGUCAUUCUCAGGAGUUCCAGGACAGGACUGCAUUUUUGGACCUAAAUUAUUUUGCCCUCUAUGCAGUGAUUUCUAUGUCUUAGAAAGAAAAAAUAAUAAUAUUAAUAAUGGUGAGUGGGAUGAGAAGUCCCUUUACAUUCCAUUUUAUUAUUCAUUUGGACAGAUAAUUGUUUGAGACUACCUUAAUGGAAGUGCAUGCUAUACAAGUAAGAAAUUAUUUCAUACAUGUCAGUUCUUUCAGGAUGCUGUUGCUGUAAUCACUCACUGAAAAGACCUAUUGUUAAUUUUUAAAGAAGCUUAAAGGAGAAGAAAACAUGCCCACGGGCACAAGGUUCAGUGAGCAGUCAUAAUGUGGUGAAGAAGAGGCAGGAAGGAGGCCCAAAAGGCAGGAACUGGCUGGGGGCCAUCCCAAAGGCCAUGGCAGUAAAGGGUAUAUGUGGAUGGACACCACGAACUGUACCAAACAAUGCCAAAAAUAUUGUCUACCAUACUUACUUCAUCCUUACAGAAACUCUAUGAUAUAGUUAUCAUCUUUAGCAUCCUUUUAUAAGGAGGAAAUUAAAGCCCAGAGGAGUUAAAUAAUGUGUCAGUUGGGGUCUUGUGAGGAGAAGAAUCUGAAACAGGCUUAGAACUGCAAGAGAUUUAUCGAAUAAAUGCCUGUGAAAACUAAAAGAAAGGGAGCAGGAGUCGUCAGGGAGAAUCUUCAGACCAUGGUGUGGGUGGGACGCUGUAAAAGGAGAGAGGGAAGGAAGGAUGAAUAGAAACAGCCCCAGACCACGGCACAGUUGGCGUAGCUUUACACAAGCCAAUGGGAGUCCCCAAACAAACAUGCUCAUUGGAAGAGUCCUGGGGAGGGAGGGCUGUGUUGGCACCAUUAGUCUUGUCAUGUACAGUCAUUGCUGGGAGCAUCCCAAGGGAAGUGUGAUCUUGACACCAGCCUGGUGCUGGAUUCGAAGCUGUCAGCCAACUAUGCCCUUGUGGCAGGUUUUCUUGGAGAAGGUCUAAGCAGGUAUUUCCACAGAUGCCGCUGUAACUUGCCUCGAAGGUGAAACUAGGAUUUGAUCAUGGGCUGUCUGAGCAUUGCACAAUGGUCUGAAAUCUUCCUUGAUCUGGUUAAAGAAGUCAAAAGGCAAUAUAAAUAUCUUGAUACCGUAUUUGCUAUAUUUCAGGAGUUGGCAAACUUUUUAUAUAAAAGACCAUAAAGUAAAUAUCUUACUCUUUGUGAGCAUAUGGGGUGUCUGUCACAAAUACUCGGCCCUGUUGGUCCUAGUGAGAAAACAAAUGGGAGAGGCUGUGUUCUAAUAAAAUUGUAUUUAUGCAAAAACAGGCACCAGGCUGAAUUUGACCCAGGGGCCAUAGUUUGCCAACCCUUGCUCUGUAUGACAAGAAACAAAUGUCAGAUCAAAGAGGAAACAAAAGUAAUAAACUGUAGAAGAUGAAGACAUGAGAACCCAGCA
rnacentral:lncRNA from 1 species